CUCAGGGAGGCCAGGGCGGCGGCAGCGGGAGGGUGGCGCUGGGCUCCAGUAGGAGCCAUUCCCAGUGCUUUAGAUGGGGCCAGCAGAUUGUAUGAUGCCAGCCAUCCUGGGGGAUUCAGAAUACUGUACAGCACGGCUGGGCCACGAGACUUGUGAAGUAGAUUCAUAAAAAGAAGCUGAGAACCUCCUGGACAUUCACUAGGAGGAGCAUAACUGGGACAUAAAACAAGAAGCAUUCUUUCAAAGCAUCAUGGUUACUUGACAGAGACAGGGAUAUUCCCAAAAAAUUCCUUUUCUAGAUCUGCUUUUA